CCCUGCUCCCACUUCUUCACCUUUUGCAGUACAGUUUACAGAAUGGAAAAGCUUCCGAGGGGUUUGCGUAUCUGCAGCCACCUGCAAGAGGAAGUUCUUGGCAGCCAGGCCUUCAGGAAGGCACCCACCCCAGGAGACUCAAAUUUCCUGUCGAUGUUGAUGUGCCCAUAUCUUCG
rnacentral:lncRNA from 1 species